AAUCAACGCUGGCGGCGUGCCUCAGACAUGCAAGUCGAACGAUUAAAGCUCCCUUCGGGGAGUGCAUAAAGUGGCGCACGGGUGAGUAACACGUAAGUAAUCUACCCUCGAGUGGGGAAUAACGUCCGGAAACGGACGCUAAUACCGCAUAAUGCAGCGGCACCGCAAGGUGACAGUUGUUAAAGAUUUAUCGCUUGAGGAGGAGCUUGCGGCAGAUUAGCUAGUUGGUAAGGUAAUGGCUUACCAAGGCCGCGAUCUGUAACCGGUCUAAGAGGACGGUCGGUCACACUGACACUGAAUAACGGGUCAGACUCCUACGGGAGGCAGCAGUCGGGAAUUAUGGGCAAUGGGCGAAAGCCUGACCCAGCAACGCCGCGUGAAGGAUGAAGUAUUUCGGUAUGUAAACUUCGAAAGAAUGGGAAGAAUAAAUGACGGUACCAUUUAUAAGCUCCGGCUAACUACGUGCCAGCCGCCGCGGUAUAC
rnacentral:rRNA from 1 species